rnacentral:snoRNA from 1 species
CCUCUUUGGCAAUGGGCAAAGAGACACCUUGUUGGUGGUGGUGUUCUUAUAUUAGUCAGGGGCAGAGCAGAUUGUAGUCCUUUGUUCUUCCUAGCUGGAUGCCUGACUUGGUGGCCAAAGUUGUCUUAUACCUAGAACUCAUAA